rnacentral:rRNA from 1 species
UAAUAUGUUAGAAAUUAGGUAGUAAUGAUAUAUCUGAAACCUAAAGAACUUGGCGGUAUUUUAAAUAAUUGGAGGAACUUGCUGUUUAAUUGAAAUUCCACAGCAGAUCUCCCCCUGUUUUUGUUUGUAUAUCGUUGUUUCAAGACAACAUUUUAAGGUGUAGUCGAGGUCAAAAUUUUUCAUCAAAUCAAAUCAAGGUGCAGCAUAGCAGGGUUGCAGUGAGUUACAAUAUAUUUUAUAUAAACGGAAAAUGAAAUGAAAAUUAAGUGUGAAGGUGGAUUCAAAAGUAAUAAAGUAUUAAUAAGUUUUUAUGAAUAAAAAUUUAAAAUAUGC